rnacentral:rRNA from 1 species
GACGAACGCUGGCGGCGUGCUUAACACAUGCAAGUCGAGCGGUAAGGCCCUUUCGGGGGUACACGAGCGGCGAACGGGUGAGUAACACGUGGGUGACCUGCCCUCAGCUCUGGGAUAAGCCUGGGAAACCGGGUCUAAUACUGGAUAUGACUCCAUGACGCAUGUUGUGGGGUGGAAAGCCUUGUGCGGCUGAGGAUGGGCCCGCGGCCUAUCAGCUUGUUGGUGGGGGAUGGCCUACCAAGGCGACGACGGGUAGCCGGCCUGAGAGGGCGACCGGCCACACUGGGACUGAGACACGGCCCAGACUCCUACGGGGAGGCAG